rnacentral:misc_RNA from 1 species
AGUAAUAUGGAUCCCAGUACCUGAGGGGAAAAAAUGCUUAAAGUUUCUCUCAAUUUCAGUUUGUCUAUUGUUGGAAGUUGGGAGACUCACAGGAAAGCAAGUAUGAUACCCAUGGAUACUUGAAUGAUUGAAUAAAAAUUCAGAAAAUUCACAAAAAGUUUUCUACAUUCACUUUGGCAACCCAAACAUGCAUCUGCAUAUUCUCAAUAAACCAAAAGUAAUAUUUUUACAAUCUCCAAAUAAAUGCUUACAAACUACAUAUCUCUAGAAAGCACAGGAAUACCUAACCAAAUAAUGUGCAAUGAAAUCCUAGAAUCGUCAUAAUAGUAUGUGUGACUGGUUCAAACACUGAAAGCAUGCACGCUGAUACUUGCAACAAAGUACGUAUCUCUACAUAUGUGAUACAUGCAGCACUAAUUAACAUCCAUUUAUGAUAUCUAAUAAUACCAUAAUCUGAAAAAACUACUCAGAAUUAUGUCAGUCCAGAGAAUAUACCAAAAUAGAUCAGUA